GAUGAACGCUGGCGGCGUGCUUAACACAUGCAAGUCGAACGAGAAGUGGAGACGGAAACCUUCGGGCGGAAGACUUUACUUCGAGUGGCGGACGGGUGAGUAACGCGUGGGUAACCUGCCUCAUACAGGGGGAUAACAGUUGGAAACGACUGUUAAUACCGCAUAAGACCACAGCACCGCAUGGUGCGGGGGUAAAAACUCCGGUGGUAUGAGAUGGACCCGCGUUCGAUUAGCCAGUUGGCGGGGUAACGGCCCACCAAAGCGACGAUCGAUAGCCGAUCUGAGAGGAUGACCGGCCACAUUGGGACUGAGACACGGCCCAAACUCCUACGGGAGGCAGCAGUGGGGAAUAUUGCACAAUGGGGGAAACCCUGAUGCAGCGACGCCGCGUGAGUGAAGAAGUAUUUCGGUAUGUAAAGCUCUAUCAGCAGGGAAGAAAAUGGCAGUACCUGAGUAAGAAGCCCCGGCUAACUACGUG
rnacentral:rRNA from 1 species